rnacentral:rRNA from 1 species
GUCUAUGGCCAUACCACCCUGAACACUCCCAAUCUCGUCUGAUCUGGGAAGCUAAGCAGGGUCAGGCCUAGUUAGUACUUGGAUGGGAGAACAUUCUCCAGGAUAGACCACAUGUUAGGCCACAGAAC